AAUUCGGUACGAGGAAAACAAGUGUCGCACGAUACCAUCAUCAGUGUCGCGCGUCACCAUCAUUGCAGCCAGGUAAGUUAUCUGUUUUUCCUGUGUUUCUCUGUUUCUUUUCUUUUGUCACCAACUUCGGAUUUGAUUACAUUGGGGACAGUGUUAUUCAAGUCUGGGGGAGGUAGUUGCUGACAUUGUGUUUGUUUUUCUUAAGAGUCAGUUGUGUCAAAACGUUUUUGAGUCAAAACCUGUUGGAGAUCAUGAUGCUUUUCCUGGAAUUAUUGUGCUGACUUUUCACCUAAGUGACCACUGCUGCAAAUUCAGACUAGAUCCGACUAAUGAAAAAUCCAAAGGCUGACCAGUUGACUAGAGGCGUCCAUGUUUCCAACAGAAUCCACUAACCUGAGCUAAGUACUGAACUUCACUUUUAACUCGCUGAUGUGACUAAUGCCUUAGAGCUUGAUUCCUCAUUCGUACUUGAUCAAUGAAAGCCUGUGUGAAAUUUAAUGAAGUGAUUUCUCUCCCUUGUGACGAGCUAAGAAAGAAAGAAAAAGGGCAAAAAGAUUGAGAUGAUUUUCGCUUAGGAGUGAAGGGCUAGGAAUGUUUCCAAUGAUCCCAUUAUUUCACUUCUAAGUUGGAAUGAUCACACAAAGGAAGGAAGUGAGGGGUAGGAAUGUUUCCCAUGACCCCACUAUUCGCUGAAAACCUUUGAUACAAGGUAAGGGGACAACUUGGGGACUUGGUGGCAAACACCAUCAGUACUCGCAGCUUUACCCUUAUCGAGUAUAUGCCAUAAAAAAAUGAUGAUGAGUGUGCGAAAAGAAUAAGUCUGGGGGAGAGAAAAGUACCAAAGUUUGUAUGGCUGAUUUGUUUGAGUAUUGGGAAAGAAUCUAGAAGGUUCUGGGCAUUGGAAUCAUCAGUGAGAUCCAGCGAUGAGGGUUUAUGGACAAUGUUGUGAAAUUUUGGAUUUAGUCUGGAAAGCUGUGAAUGUCUGCGGAGAAGUACAUGGUGGUUCGAUUUGGAAUGAUGAAGCAGUAGUUAAGUUGCAGGGUGAACGGUCAAAGCGAUGUUCCAAUGAAAGGUUGAGUCUCUGUGUUUUCAAACUUCUUUCUCCUGUUUGGUGUUCUGUUUGCUUGAGGGCAAGCAAAUGCUAAGUCUGGGGGAGUUGAUAUAUCAUGGUUUUUAUGGUUUUUAACCAUGGUAUAUGUCUUAUUUAUAGAGUCUUUUUAGUGUCUUUCGAGUCUUUUGGAGUCUUUUCAGGUCAUAGGUACGUUUGGAGCUUAACUGGAGACUUUGGAGCACUUUGGAGCUUAAUCAGGAUCAAAUUCGUCAAGUAUGGAUUUUGUGCUUUAGUGACGCUCGACACCAUGGAGAGUGACGCGCGACACUUGUUAGAGAAAUAAGGAAAAGGCGAUUUUGUUUCCUAUUUGAAGAAGGAGUUGGGCCCAAACGUUUUCAAGGAAGCCCAAAACGUGUCUUAGAGAUAUAUAUAGGAUUUUUAUUCCCUUUUUACGUUAACCUUAGAUUUUCUUAGAGAGAGUUUUUUGUUUUUGAGAGUUUUUGGGGAGACAAGUCUGAAACUCUGUUCCGGAGAGAGAAGAUUUCGAACCCCUGUUUAUUAAUCUAUUUACUGCUUACUGCAAGUUAUUCAAUCAUGCUUAUUGCUUCAAUCUCCAUGUCUGAGUAGUUUGCUUGUUAGGUUUAGGGUUCUCAUAAAGGAUUUCAUUGGAUG
rnacentral:lncRNA from 1 species